rnacentral:rRNA from 1 species
CAAUAGCGUAUAUUAAAGUUGUUGCAGUUAAGAAGCUCGUAGUUGGAUUUCUGGUGGGAGCGAUCGGUCUGGCGCUUAGCGCGAGUACUUGCAUCGUCUCCGGCCAUCCUUGGGGAGAGUCUGUCUGGCAUUAGGUUGUCGGGCAGAGGAUCCUCAUCGUUUACUGUGAAAAAAUUAGAGUGUUCAAAGCAGGCUUAUGCCGUUGAAUAUAUUAGCAUGGAAUAAUAAGAUAGGACUUUGGUACUAUUUUGUUGGUUUGCGCACCAAAGUAAUGAUUAAUAGGGACAGUUGAGGGUAUUCGUAUUCCGUUGUCAGAGGUGAAAUUCUUGGAUUUACGGAAGACGAACUACUGCGAAAGCAUUUACCAAGGAUGUUUUCAUUAA